CUCCGCCCGGGGCCCCCUCCGCGGCCGUCCCCGCGUUCCCACUUCCUUUCCAGCCAGCCGGCCGCCCGUCCCUUCGGAAGCCGGGCUUCUGGGAGCAGGGGCGCGAGGCAGCGCGAGGCAGCCCGCGGGGCGGGGGCGCUCGACCUUCCCGCCCCCGGGUCACCCAGGGGCCGCUCCUGCCCUCGCCCGCAGCCGGCUGCUUUCCCCCAACUACCUGUCCGAGCAGCCGCCCGGAGACGUCCCCAGGCCAGGCCCGCCUCGCCGGGGUCCCCCAUCUGCACCGCGGCGCGCUCUCCAGGGAGCCAGGGCACUGCCCCGUCCCUCUCCCUCUCGGCCUCCCGCUUCUGCGCUCUUUGCGCUUUUGUGGGCUCCGCCACUCGACGCGACCCAGCCUUGGCGCUGUCACCCCUCCCACUGAGAGUUUGCAGUGUGGACACCGGCGAGCGAGCACAGCUGGAGCAUCUGGAUGAGUCUACACAGCCCCUUCCCCAGUCAGCUCCUAAGUCUUCCCACUCACCUGACAGUGUCAGAGACACUCAGUCAUCAAGGAGUCCAGAUAUUCAGCUCAUCUCCAUCCUGCUCCCCAAUUCCUCUGCCCAUGUGACUUUGAGAGUUUCUCCACGCCAUCCUGAAGCCCGAGGUCUUCAUGUCCGAGCCUGGCUGAUGACGCCUCCUAUGUCUCCCUGGCUGUUCUGAACACCCGGAUUAACCAAUAUGGAAGAAAUCACUUGGAAGUGAGAAAGUUCUACAGGACAUCUUAAGGAGACUAUGAGGUAUCCUCCUGGCUGAUAGAAAGCAAAAUUGCAAUCAACACUUAAGUCUCAUAUUCAAGACUG
rnacentral:lncRNA from 1 species